AGCGAACGCUGGCGGCAGGCUUAACACAUGCAAGUCGAGCGGGCGUAGCACUACGUCAGCGGCAGACGGGUGAGUAACGCGUGGGAACAUACCUUUUGGUUCGGAACAACACAGGGAAACUUGUGCUAAUACCGGAUAAGCCCUUACGGGGAAAGAUUUAUCGCCGAAAGAUUGGCCCGCGUCUGAUUAGCUAGAUGGUGAGGUAAUGGCUCACCAAGGCGACGAUCAGAGCUGGUCUGAGAGGAUGAUCAGCCACAUUGGGACUGAGACACGGCCCAAACUCCUACGGGAGGCAGCAGUGGGGAAUAUUGGACAAUGGGCGCAAGCCUGAUCCAGCCAUGCCGCGUGAGUGAUGAAGGCCCUAGGGUUGUAAAGCUCUUUGUGCGGGAAGAUAAUGACGGUACCGCAAGAAU
rnacentral:rRNA from 1 species